rnacentral:rRNA from 1 species
CGUAAGGGAGCUUACCAUGCAGUCGACGGUGUCUUCGGACAUAGUGGCGGACGGGUGACUAACGCGUGAGAAUCUGGCUUUAGGUCUGGGACAACCACUGGAAACGGUGGCUAAUACCGGAUGUGCCCUUUGGGGUGAAAGAUUAAUUGCCUGAAGAUGAGCUCGCGUCUGAUUAGCUAGUUGGAAGUGUAAUGGACUCCCAAGGCGACGAUCAGUAGCUGGUCUGAGAGGACGAUCAGCCACACUGGGACUGAGACACGGCCCAGACUCCUACGGGAGGCAGCAGUGGGGAAUUUUCCGCAAUGGGCGAAAGCCUGACGGAGCAAUACCGCGUGAGGGAGGAAGGCUCUUGGGUGGUCGUAAACCUCUUUUCUCAGGGAAGAACACAAUGACGGUACCUGAGGAAUAAGCAUCGGCUAACUCCGUGCCAGCAGCCGCGGUAAUACGGAGGAUGCAAGCGUUAUCCGGAAUGAUUGGGCGUAAAGCGUCCGCAGGUGGCAAUGUAAGUCUGCUGUUAAAGAGUCUAGCUCAACUAGAUAAGAGCAGUGGAAACUACAUAGCUAGAGUACGUUCGGGGCAGAGGGAAUUCCUGGUGUAGCGGUGAAAUGCGUAGAAAA